rnacentral:rRNA from 1 species
UACGAAGGGGGCUAGCGUUGUUCGGAUUUACUGGGCGUAAAGCGCACGUAGGCGGAUCGUUAAGUCGGGGGUGAAAUCCUGGAGCUCAACUCCAGAACUGCCUUCGAUACUGGCGAUCUUGAGUCCGGAAGAGGUGAGUGGAACUGCGAGUGUAGAGGUGAAAUUCGUAGAUAUUCGCAAGAACACCAGUGGCGAAGGCGGCCAACUGGUCCGGUACUGACGCUGAGGUGCGAAAGCGUGGGGAGCAAACAGG